UGUGGAGCGCACCCAGGGCGCGGUGGGCGCCCAGCCCGGAGUGCUGGGGCCGCCCUCAGCGGCGUCCCUGUGCUCGGAGCCGCCAGGUCUGAGCGUCUCCCCUCAGUCCUGGCGUUGCUUUUCGUCUUUUCCGAUCAGUCAGAGGGAAUUUCCCCGUUCCCCCCCCCCGUCCCCGUAGUCUGCGAGGGCAGGGUAUGGGCUUUCAGAAAAGGUAGCUUUUGUAGAACUGCUCCGCUUCUAUCCGGGUAAAUCCGGGGCAAUGAUGGUCCUCGAUGACGGCUGGAGAGUGAAAUAAGGGCGAACAUUCUGUGUUGUUACUUGAACUAAGACGGAACAAGAAAAGUUGAGGCUUGUGAAAUGCUGUUUGCAGUUUGUCUUGAAACCUACAGAAAAAGGCAUGUAAUUCAGUGUCCUGGACAUAAGCAGGAAGAAUGAAAGAUGGAAGAAUUUUCACUUUUCUGGCCUUUUCCUGAUGACAGUGGCUUUGACUGGGGGCCCUGAUCUCCCAAACACUGAUUGUCUUAUGUUCCUCAAUUCUGAAAACCUUCAAGCAUACAGUCAGGUGUCCUGCCAGCAGCUCUGCAGCAGUCAAUGCUUUUGCAAUACCGAGCUCUGCUCAUUUCAAAAUUGUGAAGCAAUCCAGCUUAGCAGUCAGCAGAGUGUAAAACUGAAUAGUAGGAAGCAUUGGAGAGCACCUACUCCAGUUUCAAGCAGAAGAAAGCCUUAAAACUUCAAGGAUCAGAAUGCUGGGGCAUCUCCACUGACAGGAAAUCUAACAGGCAGAGAUGGGAAAAAAAUUAGGAGAUGAAUACACAAGAGGAGUUCUGCUGUACGCUGCAAAUUGCCCACUGUGGUACCAGACAGCCCUUGUUGAUCAUGCCUGAAGAACAUAUUCUUUCUCUGAAUAUGAAGCAUGGCAACCCACUGUACUAGGGCUCAGGAUUGAUAUUGCUGUCCUGCAGGGAUAAUUGGGAAUUUACCAAACCAGAGCAACAGAUGCCUUGAGAGACGCAAGUAUCUUUCAGGAGCUGCCUUAUCAUGUACCUGUCAUAAAGCCAAAGUAGGAGCAACUGUUCAUUCUAAGGAAAUGCAAGGAAAAGAAUUGCUCCACCUUGCAGGUACAAAACAAGAUGCCACGUUCCUCACAGCGGCCAGAGUUGGCAUGGAUGACCAGCUCUCCCAGUGGGACCUGCUUCCCUGUGGGAAGAUGCUGCCCAGGACAGUAACGUUUCUGCUACUAGAGCUGAGGGGAAAGGCCAUAUUUGGGACCUGAUGUUAGGUCAGAAUUGGAGCUGGAACUUUGAAUACAAUUUUUUUCCCCCCAAAAUGGUCCUGUACUCUACUCUCUCAGCCUUGUCCUCAGCUAACGUGUUGCAGUAUUGCUUAGGGGUGAGCUGUGCUGAUGCCACUGCUGUACUCUUGCUGGUUUGGAGCAUGGGGUCUGCCUGGCCAGGUCCGGGAGGAGCUGGGAAGAUGGACUGGCUUGCAGUGCUGUUUGAAAGCAGCACAGACCCGCCUGAAGAAGAAACUUGGAAUGUGGUGCCAGUACAACAGCAGACAGUGAGAGAAACCGAGGGAAGCACCUCCAAGAUAAGUAAUAAAUGAUAAUUGUUAUUUCCUAUUAUUCAUCUGAAUCUCUACUCCUGAGAAUUUGAGUUAAAUCCUAAAUUUUCCUUUAUUUUUAAGCAGAUCAUCCAGCAAGUUAAAAACCAGCAACACAAGGAGGUCCUAAGAUAGGGUUUGCUCCAGUUUUCCUGCUGAGCAUCUGUUUAGGAAUUGCUGCUAAAAAAAGUCAGAGGGGAUGGUAGUUGCUGUGCUGUCACAUGGGCUGAUACAGAGCAGAAUCUGCUUAGCAUUCUUGAAGGGAAAUUAUCCAGUGCUGUAACUCACAAUUUAUAAUUGGUUGCAUAUUAAUAUCUAAAAAAGGCAAUAAAAUCCACUAUGUGUUUAAAAAAAAUAGUAAGUAGGAGUAUUACAAGCUGAGCAGUGAAAAUCUGGAAGACUUCUUGGCUAGAGCAAGGCUGUGUGCAGUGCUGUUUCUCCCUUAAUUACAAGCAAUUUUAAAUCAUCUCCUUCCUUCAAAGAAGGAUUUUGUUCAGGGUGUGUGUUAAUUUUAAUCUUGCUAACGUGAUACUCUCUUGGAACCUCUCCCUUGUGUCAUAACAGUGAGAUGUGCUGCCUCUUUUGUCCCUGCCCUUUGGGAAAUGCAGUUACUGCUGCUCGUUGCCUCAACCCUGCCAUCGUGACUAUCAGUGUACCUCCCUUGAAAGGAGAAGAAAACAAAACCCAACAGCAGCAUUGCUUUUCCCCCCCCAGAGGUUCAAUUUAUUUGUACUAUUUAAGCUAGACUGUGCAAGUACUUCAUGAAAAUCAGGGAUUUAAAAUGUAUGGUACUGUAUUAUGCUGUAUUAUAGUGGAAAGCUUGUUAUUCAGCACACUAAUUAUUUCUGAGUCACUAUAUUUAUGAAAUGGCGUGUAAUAACUACUUCACCACCACGCAAAGUAAAUAGUAUAAAAGCAGGCAUUUUAUGAUUUUGACAUUUUAGUGUAUAAACAUAUUCCUGAAUCUCCUGGGGGGUUACUGGAAAUCAGAUAAUGUUUUUAUGACUUUUAAAAAAUGACAUUGAAUUUCACAGACUGUAACGCUCCAUAUAUAUGGUUAAUGUUGCAUAUUUUAUUACAGCCUCAGUGGCUUAUGUUACAAGUGUCAGCUGCAAAGAGAAAACGUACAAAGGCGGGUUUGUGGAACUGUGGGGGAAACAACAUCGUAAAACCUUGCAAUGCACACAUCAAAGCCCUUGGACAAGCUGUAAUGGCAGGUCCUGGGCCAUGCUGGGACACCAGAAUACACCCUCUGCUUUUUUUGGUGUCAGGAUGGAUUACAAAGCCCUCGCUGAAGGAGGGUUUCUGCCCACACUUGUCACUAGAGGAUAAGUAAGUUUGGGUUUUUGUCAAGCCCUGUGUGAAUGACCCGUUAACUCCAGAGGAACUGGGACGCCUUGAGUGACACUCUGCGAGCUGGACUGCACUGAGACUUCUGCAUUUCAGGAAUGUGACUCCUGUCCUUGACCUCGUCUGCACAUAAAUACAACAUGCCCCGUAGUGCUGAGUGGUUUGGGAAGAAUGUCAGCCAGACAAGAGGGGAGAUAAUGGAAAGACAGAAGAGAAGGUAUUUGACACUGUACAUAAAAUGAUGCAUCAUUUUUUUCAUAAUCAGAAGGACCCUUCUGGGAGUCACAGAAGAGUUGUUCACUCAGGUACUGACCUUAAAGGUGAGCAUUGGGUACUUUGGUGUAAUUAGCUGUGCUUGUUUUCACCAUCAAGCUCAUAAUAUUGAAUUAAGUAAAAAUGUGACAGUUUCCCUAGACCUCGGCUCAGAUCCUGAGCCACCCUCUGGAGCUGAGCUAUGGUUUGAGCUGGGUCACUGGCACAAACCAGGCUUGUGGCUGGCAGGACCAGUCAGGAGAUCUUUGCAAUGUAGGA